UUUCCGUAGGUGAACCUGCGGAAGGAUCAUUCAUAAUAAGUGUUUUAUGGCACUUUUUUAAAUCCAUAUCCACCUUGUGUGCAAUGUCAGGGUUGAUUUUUCUCUCGAGAGGAUCAACCCCAAACAUCAACUAUAUCUCAACUCUUUGUCUGAAAAAUACUAUGAAUAAAACAAUUCAAAAUACAACUUUCAACAACGGAUCUCUUGGCUCUC
rnacentral:misc_RNA from 1 species